AUGCUCUCAUCACGCAACGAACUCUCACGCUUUCUCUCCACCGUAAUAACCUCAUUCUUUUUCAUCCAUCACGGUAACGACUUCACUCUCGCUCUUCUCCAUCCAUUGUCGUUUCUCCUCCGACGGAGACAUUGCCAGAGAAGACGGUUGGGCCGCCAUCGGUGCACUCCCCUUUUCAUUUCCAAAUCCUUGAACCUUAGGCAUGUCUUCAUGUUACUUGCCCAUCCAAUCUCGUUUCUGGCCAAUGUUCAUGAAGUUCUCUGA